rnacentral:rRNA from 1 species
AACGAACGCUGGCGGCAGGCUUAACACAUGCAAGUCGAGCGCCCCGCAAGGGGAGCGGCAGACGGGUGAGUAACGCGUGGGAAUCUACCCAUUUCUACGGAAUAACGCAUGGAAACGUUUGCUAAUACCUUAUACCUCCUUCGGGAGAAAGAUUUAUCGGAGAUGGAUGAGCACGGGUUGGAUUAGCUAGUUGGUGGGGUAAAGGCCUACCAAGGCGACGAUCCAUAGCUGGUCUGAGAGGAUGCUCAGCCACACUGGGACUGAGACACGGACCAGACUGCUACGGGAGGCAGCGGUGGGGAAUAUUGGACAAUGGGCGCAAGCCUGAUCCAGCCAUGCCGAGUGAGUGAUGAAGGCCCUAGGGUUGUAAAGCUCUUUCACCGGUGAAGAUAAUGACGGUAACCGGAGAAGAAGCCCCGGCUAACUUCGUGCCAGCCGCCGCCGUAAUAC